AUACGUAGGGGGCAAGCGUUAUCCGGAUUUACUGGGUGUAAAGGGAGCGCAGACGGCAGUGCAAGUCUGAUGUGAAAGCCCGGGGCUCAACCCCGGAACUGCAUUGGAAACUGCACAGCUUGAGUGUCGGAGAGGUAAGCGGAAUUCCUAGUGUAGCGGUGAAAUGCGUAGAUAUUAGGAGGAACACCGGUGGCGAAGGCGGCUUACUGGACGAUGACUGACGUUGAGGCUCGAAAGCGUGGGGAGCAAACAGGAUUAGAUACCCUGGUAGUCCACGCUGUAAACGAUGAAUACUAGGUGUGGGUGUGCACUGCACAUCCGUGCCGCAGCUAACGCAGUAAGUAUUCCACCUGGGGAGUACGUUCGCAAGAAUGAAACUCAAAGGAAUUGACGGGG
rnacentral:rRNA from 1 species